CCUACGGGAGGCAGCAGUGAGGAAUAUUGGUCAAUGGGCGCGAGCCUGAACCAGCCAAGUAGCGUGAAGGAUGACUGCCCUACGGGUUGUAAACUCCUUUUAUAAAGGAAUAAAGUGAGGCACGUGUGCCUUUUGUAUGUACUUUAUGAAUAAGGAUCGGCUAACUCCGUGCCAGCAGCCGCGGUAAUACGGAGGAUCCGAGCGUUAUCCGGAGUUAUUGGGUUUAAAGGGAGCGUAGAUGGGUUGUUAAGUCAGUUGUGAAAGUUUGCGGCUCAACCGUAAAAUUGCAAUUGAUACUGGCAGUCGUGAGUACAGUUGAGGUAGGCGGAAUUCGUGGUGUAGCGGUGAAAUGCUGAGAGAUCACGAAGAACCCCGAUUGCGAAGGCAGCUUACUAAACUGUGACUGACAUUGAUGCUCGAAAGUGUGGGUAUCAAACAGGAUUAGAUACCCGGGUAGUC
rnacentral:rRNA from 1 species